rnacentral:pre_miRNA from 1 species
AGCUGGUGAUGGAGCCAAGGAUGACUUGCCAACACCAACUUAUAAUCUGCAAAGAAGAAAACCUGUUUGAGACGUCAUGAUAUGCAGGAUAGAGUUGGCAAGUUGUACUUGGCUACAUAUCUUGCUAU